AGCAGCCGCCACGGUAAUACGGAGGGGGCUAGCGUUGUUCGGGAUUACUGGGCGUAAAGCGCACGUAGGCGGCUUGGUAAGUUAGAGGUGAAAGCCUGGAGCUCAACCUGGGAAUUGCAGUGGAUACUGGGUCACUAGAGUGUGGUAGAGGAUAGUGGAAUUUCCGGUGUAGCAGUGAAAUGCGUAGAGAUCGGAAGGAACAUCUGUGGCGAAGGCGACUAUCUGGGCCAACACUGACACUGAGGCACGAAAGCGUGGGGAGCAAACAGGAUUAGAUACCCGUGUAGUCCCUGUCUCUUAUAA
rnacentral:rRNA from 1 species